GCUGCAAAAAGGGCAGCCGGUGAGUCAU
rnacentral:sRNA from 1 species